ACUCCUACGGGAGGCAGCAGUGGGGAAUAUUGGACAAUGGGGGGAAACCCUGAUGCAGCCAUGCCGCGUGUGUGAAGAAGGCCUUCGGGUUGUAAAGCACUUUCAGUAGGGAGGAAGGUAGUGUAGUUAACACCUGCAUUAUUUGACGUUACCUACAGAAGAAGCACCGGCUAACUCCGUGCCAGCAGCCGCGGUAAUACGGAGGGUGCAAGCGUUAUCCGGAUUUACUGGGUUUAAAGGGUGCGCAGGCGGUAAAGUAAGUCAGUGGUGAAAGCUCACAGCUCAACUGUGAAACUGCCAUUGAUACUGCUAUACUUGAGUUUGGGAGAGGUAGGCGGAAUACAUCGUGUAGCGGUGAAAUGCAUAGAUAUGAUGUAGAACACCGAUUGCGAAGGCAGCUUACUAAACCAAUACUGACGCUCAU
rnacentral:rRNA from 1 species